AUCCCAGUACGGGGAAAUAGUGACGAGAAAUAACGAGAUAGUCCACUUUGUGGCCUGUCAUCGGAAUGGGUACAAUUUAAAUCUUUUAACGAGGAUCCAUUAGAGGGCAAGUCUGGUGCCAGCAGCCGCGGUAAUUCCAGCUCUAAUAGCGUAUAUUAAAGUUGUUGUGGUUAAAACGCCCGUAGUUGAUUUUUCGACUUUGGAGGAUGGUAGCCCGAAAGGGUUUAACUGUCUCUCCGUGUCUGAAUUUGAGUUUUCUGCCGGUGUUCUUAAUUGAGCGUCGGUAGUGACUUGAACGUUUACUUUGAAAAAAUUAGAGUGCUUAAAGCAAGCUUUACGCUUGAAUAAAGUGCAUGGGAUAAUGGAAUAGGACUUUAGUCUUAUUUUGUUGGUUUUCAAGAUUAAAGUAAUGAUUAAGAGGAACAGACGGGGGCAUUCGUAUUGUUGCGUUAGAGGUGAAAUUCUUGGAUCGCAGCAAGACGAACAACUGCGAAAGCAUUUGCCAAGAAUGUUUUCAUUAAUCAAGGACGAAAGUUAGAGGUUCGAAGGCGAUCAGAUACCGCCCUAGUUCUAACCGUAAACGAUGCCAACUGGCCAUUCGCCGGUGUUAAUUUAUGACUCGGCGGGCAGCCUCCGGGAAACCAAAGUUUUCUGGUUCCGGGGGAAGUAUGGUUGCAAAGCUUAAACUUAAAGGAAUUGACGGAAGGGCACCACCAGGAGUGGAGCCUGCGGCUUAAUUUGACUCAACACGGGAAAACUCACCCGGCCAGGACACAAUAAGGAUUGACAGAUUGAUAGCUCUUUCUCGAUUUUGUGGGUGGUGGUGCAUGGCCGUUCUUAGUUGGUGGAGCGAUUUGUCUGGUUAAUUCCGAUAACGAACGAGACUCUAGCCUAUUAAAUAGACGCGAUAUUUGUUUGUAUUACGUUCUUCUUAGAGGGACAAGCAGCUCCUAGCUGCACGAGAUUGAGCAAUAACAGGUCUGUGAUGCCCUUAGAUGUCCGGGGCUGCACGCGCGCUACAAUGAAGGUAGCAAAAUGUAUAGAAACCGUGUCUGAAAAGAUUCGGUAAUCACGAAUUAUUUUCGUGCUUGGGAUAGGGGAUUGAAAUUAUUCCCUUAAACGAGGAAUUCUAGUAAGUGCGA
rnacentral:rRNA from 2 species